rnacentral:rRNA from 1 species
GCAUAUCAAUAAGCGGAGGAAAAGAAACCAACAGGGAUUGCCCCAGUAACGGCGAGUGAAGCGGCAACAGCUCAAAUUUGAAAUCUGGCCCUAGGCCCGAGUUGUAAUUUGCAGAGGAUGUUUCUGGCGACGCGCCUUCCGAGUUCCCUGGAACGGGACGCCAUAGAGGGUGAGAGCCCCGUACGGUUGGAUGCCUAGCCUCUGUGAAACUCCUUCGACGAGUCGAGUAGUUUGGGAAUGCUGCUCUAAAUGGGAGGUAUACGUCUUCUAAAGCUAAAUAUAGGCCAGAGACCGAUAGCGCACAAGUAGAGUGAUCGAAAGAUGAAAAGCACUUUGAAAAGAGGGUUAAAUAGUACGUGAAAUUGUUGAAAGGGAAGCACUUAUGACCAGACUUGGGCAGGUUGAUCAUCCGUCGUUCUCGGCGGUGCACUCUGCCUGCCCAGGCCAGCAUCAGUUCGCUUCGGGGGAUAAAGGUUUCGGGAAUGUAGCUCCUUCGGGAGUGUUAUAGCCCGUUGCGUAAUACCCUGGGGUGGACUGAGGUUCGCGCAUCUGCAAGGAUGCUGGCGUAAUGGUCAUCAGUGACCCGUCUUGAAACACGGACCAAGGAGUCGUCUUCGUAUGCGAGUGUUCGGGUGUCAAACCCCUACGCGUAAUGAAAGUGAACGUAGGUGAGAGCUUCGGCGCAUCACCGACCGAUCCUGAUGUUCUCGGAUGGAUUUGAGUAAGAGCAUACGGGGCCGGACCCGAAAGAAGGUGAACUAUGCCUGUAUAGGGUGAAGCCAGAGGAAACUCUGGUGGAGGCUCGCAGCGGUUCUGACGUGCAAAUCGAUCGUCAAAUAUGGGCAUGGGGGGCGAAAGACUAAUCGAACCUUCUAGUAGCUGGUUUCCGCCGAA